UCAAGAAACUUCCACAAUGGGCGAAAGCCUGAUGGAGCGACGUCGCGUGAGUGAUGAAGGCCUUCGGGUCGUAAAGCUCUGUCGUAUGGGACUAACAAAAUGAAGGUACCAUGCAAGAAAGGAUCGGCUAACUUCGUGCCAGCAGCCGCGGUAAGACGAGGGAUCCUAGCGUUGUUCGGAAUCAUUGGGCGUAAAGCGGGUGUAGGCGGACUUAUAAGUCAGGCGUGAAAUCCCAGGGCUCAACCCUGGAAGUGCACUUGAUACUGCAAGUCUUGAGUGUGGUAGAGGCUAUUAGAAUUCUUGGUGUAGUGGUGAAAUACGUAGAUAUCAAGAGGAAUACCGGAGGCGAAGGCGGAUAGCUGGGCCAACACUGACGCUGAGACCCGAAAGCGUGGGGAUCAAACAGGAUUAGAUACCCAAGUAGUCCCUGAGCGGGCUGGCAAGGCGCAU
rnacentral:rRNA from 1 species